rnacentral:lncRNA from 1 species
CAUGAUUAAGCCCCCAGUAAUAGCAGGGCACAGCUGUAACUCUGCCUCUGAGGGGUGUGGCUCCAAGGUUAAUGUGACUUUGUAGCAGCUCAGUUUCAGGAGUAAGGGUGAAACUGCAACGCAGGCCCUGGAGGGUGGGGCACAGCUCAGCAGCAAUUCUGGUCCUUGGUGGGCCCCUACAUCCUGCUGCAGCUGACAAGUGUACAUC